GCUGGCGUGCUUCAGCUCGGUGGACUCCGGUCUAGCCGAGGCUCCAGAGCCCGCGUCUCCCAGCUGCUUCUCCUCUUCCAGCUCCGGGCCUCGCCCGCCUCUCCCGGUUUCCUUCCCGAACCAGCUUCCAAACUGGCGCGCUGGGGUGGGAUGGUCACGUCUCUGCUCCACGCCGCCUCUUUCUCAGGUAUAUAUAUAUGGCCAAAGAACCAGGUAUGCCAACAAGAACUUGAAGUCAGGUGUUCAUAGUAGUCCAGAGGAGGAAACAGAUCAAACCCUCCACCCAUUAAUGGAUAAUGUGAUCCGCCCAUUCAGUGGAAUAUUAUUUACCACAGAAAAGGAAUGAGUGUCAUCCCAUGCUACAAUUCAGAUGCAGUACUUUACCCAAGUUCCUGUGGUUUCUUCCCACGCUGUCCAGUGUUCUUCCCCUAUACCAAGCUAACAGUGGAGGAGGAUGGUGGUUGUGUCUCAGGCAUCCUAGGAGGAAGGACUGGAUCUCUGGAGCCCAGAGACAUCAAGAGUGAACACAGAAGAGGAGGUGGAGGGUCCUGACAGAACAGAACACUCAGGACUGUCUUCAGGUAAGGAUCCUGGCUUGGCUGUAGAGCUGAGGGGCUGGGGCAGAGGCUGGGGCAGCCUGAAGAGAAGUGUCAU